CAAGUCGAGCGGAACGAGUUAUCUGAACCUUCGGGGAACGAUAACGGCGUCGAGCGGCGGACGGGUGAGUAAUGCCUAGGAAAUUGCCCUGAUGUGGGGGAUAACCAUUGGAAACGAUGGCUAAUACCGCAUGAUGCCUACGGGCCAAAGAGGGGGACCUUCGGGCCUCUCGCGUCAGGAUAUGCCUAGGUGGGAUUAGCUAGUUGGUGAGGUAAGGGCUCACCAAGGCGACGAUCCCUAGCUGGUCUGAGAGGAUGAUCAGCCACACUGGAACUGAGACACGGUCCAGACUCCUACGGGAGGCAGCAGUGGGGAAUAUUGCACAAUGGGCGCAAGCCUGAUGCAGCCAUGCCGCGUGUGUGAAGAAGGCCUUCGGGUUGUAAAGCACUUUCAGUCGUGAGGAAGGUAGUGUAGUUAAUAGCUGCAUUAUUUGACGUUAGCGACAGAAGAAGCACCGGCUAACUCCGUGCCAGC
rnacentral:rRNA from 1 species